GACAGAGGCGCCGAGCGUUAGGCGGAAUCACUGGGCUUAAAGCGUGUGUAGGCGGAUCGUUAAGUACCUUGUGAAAUCCCACGGCUUAACCGUGGAACUGCUUGGUAUACUGGCGAUCUUGAGCCACCUAGGGGCAACCGGAACAAAUGGUGGAGCGGUGAAAUGCGUAGAUAUCAUUUGGAACGCCAAUGGUGAAAACAGGUUGCUGGGGGUGUGCUGACGCUGAGACACGAAAGCCAGGGGAGCGAACGGG
rnacentral:rRNA from 1 species